rnacentral:rRNA from 1 species
CCCUUAGAUGUUCUGGGCCGCACGCGUGCUACACUGAGUGGAUCAGCGGGUCAGGUUGCGCGAAAGUGUUUCCUAAUCUUUAAAUCCGCUCGUGAUGGGGAUUGACGGUUGCAAUUUUCCGUCAUGAACGAGGAAUACCUUGUAAGCGCGGGUCAUCAUCCCGCGCUGAAUACGUCCCUGCCCUUUGUACACACCGCCCGUCGCUCCUACUGAUUGAGUGGUCCGGUGAGGCUUUGGGAUCUGAGCGGAAAGAGCGUUUCGCUGUUUCUGCCCGGAAAACUCAGUCGAACCUUAUCAUUUAGAGGAAGGAGAAGGCGUAACA